GGUCAAGCAUGGACUCGGCGGUGAGCGGCGGACGGGUGAGUAACGCGUGGGAAUCUACCGAGUAGUGGGGGACAACCAGUGGAAACGCUGGCUAAUACCGCAUACGUCCUAAUUUUAGGGGAAAGAGGGGGCUCCUUAUGGACCUCUUGCUAUUUGAUGAGCCCGCGUUGGAUUAGCUAGAUGGUGGGGUAAAGGCCUACCAUGGUGACGAUCCAUAGCUGGUCUGAGAGGAUGAUCAGCCACACUGGGACUGAGACACGGCCCAGACUCCUACGGGAGGCAGCAGUGGGGAAUAUUGCACAAUGGGCGCAAGCCUGAUGCAGCCAUGCCGCGUGUGUGAAGAAGGCUCUAGGGUUGUAAAGCACUUUCAAUGGGGAAGAAAAGAUUAAGACGAAUACUCUUGAUCCGUGACGUUAUCCAUAGAAGAAGCACCGGCUAACUCCGUGCCAGCAGCCGCGGUAAUACGGAGGGUGCGAGCGUUAAUCGGAAUUACUGGGCGUAAAGCGCGCGUAGGCGGUUAGUUAAGCGAGAUGUGAAAUCCCUGGGCUCAACCUGGGAACUGCAUUUCGAACUGGCUGACUAGAGUACAGAAGAGGGUGGUGGAAUUUCCAGUGUAGCGGUGAAAUGCGUAGAGAUUGGAAGGAACAUCAGUGGCGAAGGCGGCCGCCUGGUCUGAUACUGACGCUGAGGCGCGAAAGCAUGGGGAGCGAACAGGAUUAGAUACCCUGGUAGUCCAUGCUGUAAACGAUGUCUACUAGCUGUUGGGCUCCUAGAGGGUUUAGUGGCGCAGUUAACGCACUAAGUAGACCGCCUGGGGAGUACGGCCGCAAGGUUAAAACUCAAAUGAAUUGACGGGGGCCCGCACAAGCGGUGGAGCAUGUGGUUUAAUUCGACGCAACGCGAAGAACCUUACUCAGGCCUUGACAUCUCCGGGAAGAAGCCAGAGAUGGUUUUUGUGUCUUCGCGAACCCGUGACAGU
rnacentral:rRNA from 1 species